GUGUUCACUUUGGCAGCACAUAUAUUAAAAUUGGAACAAUACAGAGAUUAUCAUGACCCCUGCACAAGGAUGACAUGCAAAUUUGUGAAGUGUUUCAAUAUUUC